GACGAACGCUGGCGGCAUGCCUUACACAUGCAAGUCGAACGGUAACAGGUCUUCGGAUGCUGACGAGUGGCGAACGGGUGAGUAAUACAUCGGAACGUGCCCGAUCGUGGGGGAUAACGGAGCGAAAGCUUUGCUAAUACCGCAUACGAUCUACGGAUGAAAGCAGGGGACCGCAAGGCCUUGCGCGGACGGAGCGGCCGAUGGCAGAUUAGGUAGUUGGUGGGAUAAAAGCUUACCAAGCCGACGAUCUGUAGCUGGUCUGAGAGGACGACCAGCCACACUGGGACUGAGACACGGCCCAGACUCCUACGGGAGGCAGCAGUGGGGAAUUUUGGACAAUGGGCGCAAGCCUGAUCCAGCCAUGCCGCGUGCAGGAUGAAGGCCUUCGGGUUGUAAACUGCUUUUGUACGGAACGAAAAGACUCUUUCUAAUAAAGAGGGUCCAUGACGGUACCGUAAGAAUAAGCACCGGCUAACUACGUG
rnacentral:rRNA from 1 species